GAGGGCGCUCCUUCAGUUCUUCGUGGCCAAGUGGAAGGGGGAGUUCUCUCAUUUGUACCCUCCUCCACCCCGUCGGGAGGCUGAAAAAAAUUCCUUUUGUGAUCAGUCAUUUUCAGGGAAAUUUAAGAUGCAUGAAAUAGGCUUUUCAGCCGAAUGUUCCUUUCCAGCCCAGGAAAUCUUUAUCGGAUUAAAUGCACAAAAAAUGAGAAAAGGGCUCUGGUUGUGAGGCAUCCGUGACGUCCCUUGGGGGACAGUGUCCUGCGGGGGGCCGGCUGGGGAGGCACCAGCACCCCACGGCCACAGCCCUGCCUGCGGGGCAGAGUCUGGACCCUGCGCUCGGAGAAACGGGCGAUGGAGUUGAACGCUGACGCGGCAGCGGUGGCCUUGAUAAGGGGGAGGGACCGUGGGCCAGUCUGCUCUGGCCUGGAGGUCAGAGGGCAGUGUCCCAGGAGCUGAGGAUCCUGAGGGAGAUUCGCCUGCCGAACGACGGGGCACAUAAACCCCCAAGCUGGCUGGGGAAGACUGAACGUGUCAAGGGAGGCUUGACCUUUUCUCCAAACACCACGAAAAUGAAAUGAAAGCUGUGACCUUCCCAGA